AGCAGCCGCGGUAAUUCCAGCUCCAAUAGCGUAUAUUAAAGUUGUUGCAGUUAAAAAGCUCGUAGUUGAAUUUCGGGAUCAAUCUGCCGGUCGUGCCUCCGGUAUGCACUGGUUUUAUUGGUUUCUCCCUUCUGACGAAUCAUGAUGUCAUUAAUUUGGUGUCAUGGGGAAUCAGGACUGUUACUUUGAAAAAAAUUAGAGUGUUUAAAGCAGGCUCACGCUUGAAUACAUUAGCAUGGAAUAAUGAAAUAGGACGUUUGACCCUAUUUUGUUGGUUUCUAGGAUCGACGUAAUGAUUAAUAGGGAUAGUUGGGGGGCAUUAGUAUUCAAUUGUCAGAGGUGAAAUUCUUGGAUUUAUUGAAGACUAACUACUGCGAAAGCAUUUGCCAAGGAUGUUUUCAUUAAUCAAGAACGAAAGUUAGGGGAUCGAAGACGAUCAGAUACCGUCGUAGUCUUAACCAUAAACUAUGCCGACUAGGGAUCGGAUGAUGUUAAUUUUUUUAAUGACUCAUUCGGCGCC
rnacentral:rRNA from 1 species